UUGACAAUUAGUCUGGCGCUUUGUCAGUUUAUGGCUUGUAAAUGAGAGUCAUUAUGGCGGAAUGCUCUCUAAUAUCCUCAUGCUGUCUGAACUCUGCAGGGUGACGAACCCGCGGUUGGACUUUAGAGCUCUUCUGUCGCUACGUGAGAUGCAUCUCUGAUCUGCCAUGCCAACAGAGCUGUCCCCCUCAUCUGAAACAGAGAUGAAAAACCUCCAUGUGUACAAACACAUCCACACUAUUUAACCAAAAAUUAAUUUGCAAACAGGCUGUCAAUGCUUGGUGUUAUACG
rnacentral:lncRNA from 1 species